rnacentral:tRNA from 1 species
GGGGGUGUAGCUGAGUGGUAUAGCACUUGCCUACCAUGCACGAGGCCCUGGAUUCAAUCCCCAGUACCUCAA